rnacentral:rRNA from 1 species
UACGGAGGGUGCGAGCGUUGUCCGGAAUCACUGGGCGUAAAGGGCGCGUAGGUGGCGGUCCAAGUCAACGGUGAAAGCUCGGGGCUCAACCCCGAGUCGGCCGUCGAUACUGGGUUGCUUGAGCACUGUAGAGGCAGAUGGAAUUCCGGGUGUAGCGGUGGAAUGCGUAGAGAUCCGGAGGAAUACCGAUGGCGAAGGCGGGUCUCUGGGCUGACACUGACGCUCAUGCACGAAAGCGUGGGGAGCAAACAGG